UUUAGAACACCCACAUGAGUGGUCCGAUAGAUACACCUUAGUGAUCAUGGAUGGAUCUUGGCAUACAAAUUCAAGUUUUGACAAUGUUCCGAAUCAAAAAGCUCUGCUAAACUUCGAAUUAAUGUUCGCUCAACUAUAUGUUAUGAUGAGACAUAUUGAUAAUGGCGGAGUUGCAAUUCUUCGAGCAAAACUGAUAUGCGAAACUGGAGCCUUCAUAUUGACGUUACUCUGUGAAAUGUUUGACAGUGUGGAGGCCACGAAAAUGGAUAAAAACGUUUGUGGUGGAAUGUGGAACAGCCUAUUCUCGUACAUUAUCUGCAAAAAGUUCAAGAGUCAGAACAGAGACAAGCUAUCGAAUCAGAUCUUUAGUUACUUGGAAAAUGUGCAAGCAAUAAACACUACUUUUCUCAAGGAGGUGCUGCAAAUGGAUGAAUUCAAGAACGCCUGCAAUAAGCAAUUGGAGUACUUCGAGAAGUGUACGAUCCAUUUUAACCAGGGAAUUCAAGAUCUUCAAUAAAAAUCCACAACUCAAAUUGUCAAAUGCAAUCAGUAUUUCUACCUUUCGAACUAAAAAUCAGAAAAUCAAACACAAACAACAUUGUAACAUUGGAAAUGCUAGUAAAUUGAAAGGCUGUUUUAUUUUUAAAAAUAAAA